AGCCCUGUGGUGUACAACAUAUCGGAUUGCAAAUCCGGAGAAGUAGGUUAGUUGCCUACCGGGGCUU
rnacentral:tRNA from 1 species